rnacentral:rRNA from 1 species
GACGAACGCUGGCGGCGUGCUUAACACAUGCAAGUCGAACGGUGAAGCGCCUUCCUUUUUGGUGGGUGUGGAUGAGUGGCGAACGGGUGAGUAACACGUGAGUAACCUGCCCCCUUCUUCUGGAUAACCGCAUGAAAGUGUGGCUAAUACGGGAUAUUCUGGGUCUGUCGCAUGAUGGGUCUGGGAAAGAUAUUGUUUCGGUGGGGGAUGGGCUCGCGGCCUAUCAGCUUGUUGGUGGGGUGAUGGCCUACCAAGGCGGUGACGGGUAGCCGGCCUGGGAGGGUGAACGGUCACACUGGGACUGAGACACGGCCCAGACUCCUACGGGAGGCAGCAGUGAGGAAUAGUGCACAAUGGGCGCAAGCCUGAUGCAGCGACGCCGCGGGAGGGAUGGAGGCCGGCGGGUUGUGAACCUCUUUCGCCAGUGAAGCAGGCCUGCCUCGUUUGUGGGUGGGUUGACGGUAGCUGGAUAAGAAGCGCCGGCUAACUACGUG